GAUGAACGCUGGCGGCGUGCCUAAUACAUGCAAGUCGAACGCUGGAGAUCUAGCUUGCUAGAUCGAAGGAGUGGCGAACGGGUGAGUAAUACAUAAGCAACCUACCCACGAAGACUGGGAUAAUCUCUGGAAACGGGGACUAAUACCGGAUAGGUAAUCGGAAGGCAUCUUCUGGUUAUUAAAGGUUAGAAACACUGGUGGAUGGGCUUAUGGCGCAUUAGUUAGUUGGUGAGGUAACGGCCCACCAAGACGAUGAUGCGUAGCCGGCCUGAGAGGGUGAACGGCCACAUUGGGACUGAGACACGGCCCAGACUCCUACGGGAGGCAGCAGUAGGGAAUUUUCGGCAAUGGGGGCAACCCUGACCGAGCAACGCCGCGUGAGUGAAGACGGCCUUCGGGUUGUAAAGCUCUGUUGUAAGGGAAGAACGGUAGAUAGAGAAUAUCUAAGUGACGGUACCUUACCAGAAAGCCACGGCUAACUACGUG
rnacentral:rRNA from 1 species